GAUGAAGAACGUAGCGAAAUGCGAUAAGUAAUGUGAAUUGCAGAAUUCAGUGAAUCAUCGAGUUUUUGAACGCAUAUUGCGCCCUAUGGUAUUCCGGGGGGCAUGCCUGUUCGAGCGUCAUUAAAUAACCCUCAAGCAUAGCUUGGUGUUGGGCUUUUUUACGUCCUUGACUGGGAUGGGCCUAAAAAUUAGUGGCGAUGGCUUUUUUACUUUCAAGCGUAGUAAAUCUCGUCUUGCUAAAGAGGAAAAAGAUUUUUUUUCUGCCAAAAAUUUUAACAUUUAAAGUUGACCUCGGAUCAGGUAGGAUUACCCGCUGAACUUAAGCAUAUCAAUAAGCGGAGGA
rnacentral:misc_RNA from 1 species